rnacentral:rRNA from 1 species
GCGUAACGCGUGGGCAACCUACCCUAUACAUCGGAAUAACUCAUCGAAAAGUGGGCUAAUGCCGAAUACCUCCUUUAUAUCGAUUGUUAUUUAGGAGAAAGCUUUUGCGGUAUAGGAUGGGCCCGCGUCUGAUUAGCUAGUUGGUGAGGUAACGGCUCACCAAGGCGACGAUCAGUAGCCGACCUGAGAGGGUGAUCGGCCACAUUGGAACUGAGACACGGUCCAAACUCCUACGGGAGGCAGCAGUAGGGAAUCUUCCACAAUGGACGAAAGUCUGAUGGAGCAACGCCGCGUGAGUGAUGAAGGUUUUCGGAUCGUAAAACUCUGUUGUAAGGGAAGAACAAGUACGUUAGGAAAUGAACGUACCUUGACGGUACCUUAUUAGAAAGCCACGGCUAACUACGUGCCAGCAGCCGCGGUAAUACGUAGGUGGCAAGCGUUGUCCGGAUUUAUUGGGCGUAAAGCGCGCGCAGGUGGUUUCUUAAGUCUGAUGUGAAAGCCCACGGCUCAACCGUGGAGGGUCAUUGGAAACUGGGGAACUUGAGUGCAGAAGAGGAUAGUGGAAUUCCAAGUGUAGCGGUGAAAUGCGUAGAGAUUUGGAGGAACACCAGUGGCGAAGGCGACUGUCUGGUCUGUAACUGACACUGAGGCGCGAAAGCGUGGGGAGCAAACAGGAUUAGAUACCCUGGUAGUCCACGCCGUAAACGAUGAGUGCUAAGUGUUAGGGGGUUUCC